GACGAACGCUGGCGGCGUGCUUAACACAUGCAAGUCGAGCGGUAAGGCCCUUUCGGGGGUACACGAGCGGCGAACGGGUGAGUAACACGUGGGUGACCUGCCCUUAGCUCUGGGAUAAGCCUGGGAAACUGGGUCUAAUACCGGAUAUGACUCCAUGACGCAUGUUGUGGGGUGGAAAGCCUUGUGCGGCUAGGGAUGGGCCCGCGGCCUAUCAGCUUGUUGGUGGGGUGAUGGCCUACCAAGGCGACGACGGGUAGCCGGCCUGAGAGGCGACCGGCCACACUGGGACUGAGACACGGCCCAGACUCCUACGGGAGGCAGCAGUGGGGAAUCUUGCGCAAUGGGCGAAAGCCUGACGCAGCGACGCCGCG
rnacentral:rRNA from 1 species